CAAUGCUUUAAAGAAUUAUAGAGUGCUAUAGGAAUAAAGGAAAAGGGGAUUCAUUUUGACUGAAGAGAUACAGGAGGAUGAAACUGGGUUAGCUCUUGAAAGAAGAGAACUAUGACAACAAUUGCUGUGGGUAACAAUAUCCCAGACCGAUAGAAUACCUUGGACCUAAGCAACUAGGAUGAUUGUGCCUUUAAGUGAAAGAGAAGAACAGGAAGAACAGCUCCCUCCAUCAGGAAACUUAAGACCAACUCCAUUUGAUCUGAUCAGAGGACGUCUAUAAGGACCAACACAGUGUCACAUUCAAAAGCAUCUUUCUCCCCCUCCAAUCAACCAGUGUCCUGGGGCCUUCUUACCUCUGGAAUAGAAUCCAUGAAACUGAAAAUGGUUAGACAAAUGGAGCCCCAAAUGAUCACCACUAGCACCUACCAUCGAGGACCCCUAGACUGACCCGCCAACCCAUUCUUGCACUACGACACUGAAGACUCCCCUCCCGAGGAAACCUCAACUGCGGAGCCCCUUCUACCCCGCAGUUCAGCAGGAAGUAGCAAGAACGAUCGUCGCCCAACUUCCAAACAGCACUUGGGCUUUCCUGUUGAGAGGGGACUGAGGGACUAAGUGGCUAAGUUGGCUGGACUCCUUGGGUCAAUAGGGACUUCCCUAAGGGGACGUUACCUAAGCCAAAAUAAAUCAUAGCUGCAAGAGCCAAAAUAAAUCAUAGCUGCAAGCAAAGGAAUUAAAACUUCAACCAAUCAAAGGGGACUUUCCCCUAAGCCAAAAUGAGUCAAAGCUGCAAGAUAAGGGAUUGAAAUUUCAACCAAUUAUAUAGGGAGUUUAAGCUCUAACUGCAGCCUGAUGUUUUAAACCAAUCAGGCCUGCCAACCCACAGGUGGAUAGAAAAUAAGCUAAUUCUAUAGGACAAAAAGAGGAAAGGGGAGGGGUCAUAAGGGGAUAUAAGCAUAAGACAGCCAAGCCACAAACAGCAUCCCUUCUGGGUCCCCUUCCACCGCGUGGAAGCUUUACUUUCACUUUCGCUUUAAUAAAUCUUGCCACUGCACCAAAAAAUAAAAAAUAAAAAAAUAAAAAUAAAGUAAGAUGGUGAAAUAAUGAAAAUUCACAAAACCAAGGCAGAAAGAGUUGUAAGAAAAUAAGAAAAACUGUUUGCUAUAAAUAUGGCUGCAUAUCGGAAGUUUAAUAUCUAAAGUAUAUUGCUUUUAUUCAAACCAGGCUGCCAGUGGGACCAAGACACACACAGACAGUUCAUACACCAGGAAAACCAACAUAAAACCAACAGGCGAAACACUAAACCUUGGAAGUUAAUUAAAGAAAUUCAAAUGGAAACAAUUCUAAGGGGCCAUUUAACACAUACCAGAUAAACAAGUAUAAGAAUAAAUGAUAAAAUCCAGUACUAGUGAGACUGUUGUGAAAUGGUUGCUGGUAAAAGUGUAAAUUGGUUGUUUUUUGGAGUGAAGAGCCACAAGAAUAAUCAUACCAGAAAAUAUAGCCUAUAUGGGCAAUUCAUAAAAAGAACAAAACACAAUUAUAAAAAUAUUUAUAGCUGAAUUAUUUAUAAUAGCUAAAAGUGAAAUUACCAAAAUACUCAAUAUUAGAGAAAUAAUAAAACAAAUAAUGUGAUAUAAACCUAAUAUUCAUUCAUUAGAAAUGAAAACAUGAAGAUUCUGCAAGCAAAGGGAAAUGUGAACUGCAUGGAAGUGUUAGGGGCAAAAGUACUGGAUCUGGAGUCAAAAGAUCUAAAAUUAAGUAACCUUUGGCUAAGAAUUCAACCUCUCUGAACUUUGUUCAUCUUCUAACACAGCAGUUUUCCACCAAUACACAGCAGUUUUCAAAUGUUUUGGCCACUACCUAAAAAUGUUUAAUUUUUUCUUCUUUUGUCAUAAGAGCACUUAACGUAAAAUCUAUCCUCUUAGCAAAUUUUCAGUAUUGUCAGCAUUGGCAAUCAUAUGUCCUAUGUUGGGUAGGAAUGUCCAGAACUUAUUUAUCUUGCAUGACUGAAACUUUGUACCCUUUGACCAACCCUUUUUCUCCACCCCCCCAGUUCCUGGCAACCAUCAUUCUUUCUGCUCCUAUGAGUUUGCCUAUUUUAGAUUCUACAUGUAAGUGAGAUCAGUCAUACCUCAAUAAAGUGGUUGAAAAAAAGGAAAUUUUACAUUGAUUCCUUAUAAACACAAACACAUACACACACACACACACACACGUAAUCACCGGUAAUAAUGGUAGGCCUGGUGCAGUGGCUCACGCCUGUAAUCCCAG
rnacentral:lncRNA from 1 species